rnacentral:lncRNA from 9 species
GUCCCCUCCUCUGCCCCGUGGAUCCCGAGGCGCCUCGUGCCGAAAGCGCGCAGGGCCCGCCACCCAGAAGCCCACUGGCCUCGCUGCGGUGGGGUCUCCGGCGGCCCGAGUUACAACGUUCUUUUCCCCUCCUCCCCGCUCCCGCCCGCUGCCGCCGCUCACGCGCCACUGCCGCUACCUCGGUCGUAAAGUCCGCGCGGGGCCGCGUUCUGUCGAUCCCGCAGAGAGGGAGGCGGUUUGCACCUGGUGGGUCUCCGCGCCGGGUCCUGACCAAGGUGCCUAUUCGAGUUAUUUGCAAGCCGUCAGAAUUCUGCUUACAGUAUAUGUGUGUUCUGCAUCCCUGCAGCUGCAGAAGAAAUUUUAGUAACCCCCUCCGUACCUGCCUUCAUUUAAAGAAGAAAGAAAAAAAAAUCUGAAACAAAGUGAAAAUAACCUUGCACUAGGAUGCUGUGGGCGAGAGGAAAAGAAGAGUUAUUUUACAACGAACUUUAAUUUUUUUUUAAAUAAUGGAAUCCUUAAUUGUUUUGAACGUAAUGGUGCAAUACAUUAAAGUGGUGGACAAUGACUAUUAGAGGUAGCUUGUGUUUGAGGAUUUGGGAGCCCGCUGAAAGCAGAGAAUAGAAAUUCAUGAUCUGGAACCACGUAGGCAAGCCAUGAAAAGAUCCGCCACACCAAGAGGAGACUUUUGUAGACAAGAAAAGGAAGAUGCAAUAAACACAGAGCUCUUCACCAGGUGCGUCCUUGCCAGGAAAGAAGAGGACACUUUCUUCUUCCUCUUGGGCUCUUCAUCCUUAGAGUGUGAGAGCUCGCUUCUGGUAUGCCAUCUCCAUUUCAUUUUUUAUACAUUAAAAAGAAAAAUAAGGAGAUCCCUGUGACUCAGCAGGUUAAGAAUCAGGCAAAUGAAGCACUACAGCAGCUCAAGUUGCUACUAUGGUAUAGUUUCAAUUCCUGGCCAGGGAAAUUUCAUAAUCCAAGGGUGUGGCAAAAGAAGAGUAAGAAAGAGAAGGAGAGGGAGAGGGAGAAGGAGGAGAAUGAAAAAAAAGAGUAUGAGAGAAAGAGACAGAGAUAGAGAAAGACAAUUUAAGGAAUUGUCCUAGGAGAAUGAGAGACAUGGUAAAUCCAAAAUGUACAGGGUAGGCCAGUAGGCUGAAGAAUAAGAGAAAGUUAAUGCUAUGGUUUGAGUCUGAAUGCAAUCUUUUUAACUGAUUGACAAAAGCCCAUUCACAUUAUAGAUGGUAAUCUGCUUUCCUAAAAAUAAUCUCAUUUUAAAAAACACUUUCACAGAAAAAUGUCAAAUACUGCUGGACUAAGUAUCUGAGUACUUUGUCUUAGAUGAAUUGACAUCUAAAUUAACCAUCACUCUGUGUCUAGCAAAAGUUUAUUAUUAAACAGUGGGUGAAGUUCAUAUUGUGUUGUAACUUUUGAAUUUGUAAAACAAUAUCAAGUAUCAAUUUUAACCUGCAUAUUUAAGAGACACUUACUCUAUGAAUAAAAUUAGUUUAAAAUAAUGACUGCCAAUUAGGUGACUUUCAAGCAGUAUUUUCACACUUCUUAAAUAGAUAUUGUUUAAUUAAUUUCUGAAAAUCAUCACCAGCUGAACUAUAAUUUAUGGUUAUAGGUCACAAAAGAUGGCAAAUUAGCACAACUAAAUAGGUAAAAAUCAAUAUAGGAAGCCUAGAAAAUGACCAGUGGCAAUAAGUACCACAUUACUCAGAUUAAGGCUUUUAUAUAUCAUUUUCCACAAAAAGAAAACAGAUUCCCUUGGAGUGGCAAUUCACUGGUGAGGACAUCUUGUAAUACAAAAUUAAGGAAAAAAAAUGUAAAAAUCAGAUUGUUUCUAAAGAUGUCAUAACCCAGUAAGAAGAGGCUUCCAUUUGCUAAAGAUAAAAUUUGUAUUUAAAAAAUAGUGAAUACAUGUUAUUAUACUUGUAAAACCCAUAUAGAAUGCAAAACAGCAAGUGUAAUUCCUAUUAAAAAAUGUAUACUUUGGGUAAUGAUGACAUGUCAAUGUAGGCUCAUCACUUGUAAUAAAUGUACCAUCUGCUGUGGGAUGUUGAUAGUGGGGGAGGCUGUGCAUGUGGGAAUCUCUGUACCUUUUUCUUAAUUUUACUAAGAGGGAAUUCCUGUUGUGGCAUAGCAGUAACAAACCCAACUGGAAUCCAUGAGGAUGUGGGUUUGAUCCCUGACCCCGCUCAGUGGGUUGAGGCUCUGGUGUUGCUACAUGCUGUGGUGUAGGUCAAACAAGCUUGGAAUUGCUGUGGUUGUGGUAUAGGCCAGCAGCUGGAGCUCUGUUUCGACCCCUAGCUUGGGAACUUCCGCAUGAAGCAGGUGCAGCCCUAAAAGCAAAAAAGCAAAAAUAAAAAUUUUUCUGUGAACACAAAACAACUCUAUAAAAUACAGUUUAUUUAAGAGGAAAAAAAAAAGAGUAUUAACUGAAAAAUUACCUAGAUGGUUCAACAGAAGUGCUGCUGAACUGGAGAGUAGGUCAGUUGAAAUUAUUCAGUGUGAGGAGCAGAAAGAAGAUUCAAGGAGGAGUUCCUGUCAUGGUGAAGCAGAAACAAAUCCGACUAGGAACCAUGAGGUUGUGAGUUUGAUCCUUGGCCUUGCCCAGUGGGCUAAGGAUCCAAAAUUGCCAUGAGCUGUGGUAUAGUUCACAAUGAGGCCCGGAUUCUGCAUUGCUGUGGCAGUGGUGUAGGCUGGCGGGUAUAACUCUGAUUUGCCCCCUAGCCUGGUAACUUCCAUACACUGUGGGUGUGGCCCUAAAAAAAAAAAAAAAAGCAAAAAUAUAUAAAUAAAUAAAUAUAUAAAUAAAAAAUUAAAAAUCAUUGCAAUUCUCACUUAAAAUAAAAAAUUUUUAAAUGAAAAAAUAUAGAUAUAAAAAAAGACAAUUCAAGGAGCAGAAAGAUAUUCAAGAAGCCUGUGAAACAGCAAACACACACAUUGCACGUAAUGAGAGUCUAGAGUCUAGGAAGAGAGGAGGAAAAAAAGGGAAGAAAUUAUAUUUGAAGAAGUAGGCUGGAAAAAACCUAACAUGUGAUUAAAGGUGGAAAUUUACAAAUUAAAGAAACUCAAAAAGCAUCAGAAUAAAAUAGUUCUUCACCAAAUAUAUUAUAAUGAAAUUAUAUAAGCCAAAGCAAAUAUUGAAGACAGAAAAACAGAAGCAACUCUUGAGUUACAAGACUCUCCAGUAAGAUUAACAGCCCAUUUCUAAUCAGAAAAACUUUAGGCUACAUGGUAGUGAGAUGGUAUUUUUAGAGUGUUGGAAAAAAAUUAAAAUGUCAAUGGUGGAUUUUAUAACCAGUAACCAUUGCUGAAAAUGAAGGAGGAACUCAAUCCUAGCAGGCCUAUCCUACAAGAAAUGCUAAGAGAAGCCAAUCAGUCUCUAAUAAAAGGAUACUAUCAAGUAAUCUGAAGCCAUUCAAAGAAAUAGAGAAUACUGGUAAAGGUAGCUAUAUCAAUAUAUCAUUAUCAGUAGUACUGAAUAUAUUAUUUGUGACUCUUCCAUUUUUUUUCCUAGGACUUAAAAACAAGUGCAUGAAACAGUAAUCAUAAAUCUAUGUUAAAAUCAAUGUAUAAAGAUAUAAUUUGUGAUAAUAAUAGCAUAAUGGCAUAGCAGAAGUAGAGGUGUUUAUAAAAAGUUUUGUAUAAACUGAUAAACCAUUUAAGAGUAUUGUAAAUUUAAAAUGUUAAUUCUAAUCCCCAAAAUAACCAUCACAAAAUUUAUAUAUAAAUUAGAACAUCACAAAAACUUAAUUUAAAAAAGUAAACUAAACUAAAAGAAGGCAGUAAUCGAAAAACUGAGUAACAAAAAAGGCAUAAUAAGGCAUAUAGAAAACAGAUAGAAUGGCAGAAGUAAGCCCUUUUUAAUUGGUAAUUAAAUUUAGAUAAAUUAAAUGUAGAUAAAUUAAACUUUCUAGUUAAAAAGCAGUGAUGAACGGAGUUCGGGUUGUGGUGGAGUGGUUAACAAAUCCGACUAGAAACUGUGAGGUUCGAUCCCUGGCCUUGCUCAGUGGGUUAAGGAUCUAGCAUUGCUGUGGCUGUGGUGUAGGCUGGCAGCUACAGCUCUGAUUUGACCCCUCUCCUGGGAACCUCCAUAUGCUGCGGAAGGGCCCUAAAAAGAAAAAAAAAGAUGAAAAAAAAAAAAAAAAAAAA